rnacentral:misc_RNA from 1 species
CGUGACAAUCUGACCCUUUGUCAUCUUGGAUUAUCUGAAGGAUGUAGUAGCUGUUAACACCAGUUGAUAAGUCAGACAUGUUCAAAGUAGUAUUAUAGAUGCUCUUCCCAUCCUCAAGAAUGUGACCUGUAUCUUGCAAACCAGAAGCUUCAUGCACAGCACUUCGCCCUUUCACUUUGACAGUGACCAUGCUAGAGGCUCCACCUACAGCUUCCACUUUGUACAAAUCAAAUGGAAGCUUUUUGUGUUUUUUAAAACAUUCAACAAGGUAAUCCUCCCUGACCAUUGGCAAUUUCAUUCUCCUUGCCUUCCUCAUCUCAGCAUCUUCACAAUCUGAUACUCCACUUACAAUAAAGCAGUUUGUAUCUUUCUUUAUCUUGGCA